CCUACGGGGGGCAGCAGUGGGGAAUAUUGGACAAUGGGGGCAACCCUGAUCCAGCCAUGCCGCGUGUGUGAAGAAGGCCCUCGGGUUGUAAAGCACUUUCAGUGAGGAAGAACGCCUGGUGGUUAAUACCCAUCAGGAAAGACAUCACUCACAGAAGAAGCACCGGCUAACUCCGUGCCAGCAGCCGCGGUAAUACGGAGGGUGCGAGCGUUAAUCGGAAUUACUGGGCGUAAAGCGCGCGUAGAUGGCUUGAUAAGCCGGUUGUGAAAGCCCCGGGCUCAACCUGGGAACGGCAUCCGGAACUGUCAAGCUAGAGUGCAGGAGAGGAAGGUAGAAUUCCCGGUGUAGCGGUGAAAUGCGUAGAGAUCGGGAGGAAUACCAGUGGCGAAGGCGGCCUUCUGGACUGACACUGACACUGAGGUGCGAAAGCGUGGGUAGCAAACAGGAUUAGAUACCCCUGUAGUC
rnacentral:rRNA from 1 species